GAUGAAGAACGCAGCGAAAUGCGAUACUUGGUGUGAAUUGCAGAAUCCCGUGAACCAUCGAGUCUUUGAACGCAAGUUGCGCCCGAAGCCAUUAGGCCGAGGGCACGCCUGCCUGGGCGUCACACGUCGUUGCCCCCCCAUCUACUCCUUCGGGAUUGCGGGGGGCGGAUGAUGGCCUCCCGUGCGCCUCGCCGCGCGGUUGGCAUAAAUGCCAAGUCCUCGGCGACGCACGCCACAACAAUCGGUGGUUGCGAAACCUCGGUUGCCCGUCGUGUGCGGUCGUCGCGCAUCGAGGGCUCGAAAAAAUUGCCGGGUUCCGGCUCGGCUUUCAACGCGACCCCAGGUCAGGCGGGGUUACCCGCUGAAUUUAAGCAUAUCAAUAAGCGGAGGA
rnacentral:misc_RNA from 1 species